UUACCAUCGCACACUAUCGGCCGCCCACAGAUUUCCAAAAUAGGAGGGAUCCCCACCUGCAGACCCAACCACAGUAUUUGCCGUUUAAGGAUUGUUUAGGUGCCUUGGAUGGGACACACGUGCCAGCGUGCAUAAAGGAGUCGGAAGCAGCCCCGUAUUUUAGCCGAAAGGGUUGCCACACUCAAAAUAUUUUGGCAGUGUGUGAUUUCAAUGUGUUUCGUCUUUGUGUCAUGUGGUUGGGAGGGUAGCAUGCAUGACAGCCGGAUUUUAAACAUUAUCACCGAGGAUCCGCAAUAUAAUUUUCCAACUGCAGUGGAUGGUCGCUAUUAUCUAGUGGAUAGUGGAUACAGUAAUAAGAAGGGAUUUCUUGCACCAUAUAAGGGCAGCCACUAUCACCAACCACACUUUCAACGUCACAAGCCGAGGAAUCGUGAUGAGUUGUUCAACCGUGCCCACUCUUCAUUGCGGAGUGUG